AGUGGUAGGACAGGAAACACUUUCCUUAAAACUCUGCAACAUUUCUACCCCAAAGCACUGUCGUGCUGUCCUUGAGGGCCUUCAGACUUGGCGUUGCCUCAGACUCCUGAUGGAUGGACGCAUGAGCUGGUACACACUCCCACAGCAAGCCUGUUUCAUCGGCACCAAAUAUUUGCUCUAGCAAAUACUUCUCAUCCGCAGUUGUCCUAGGCAGCUCUUCCUUAAAAGCCUUGGCAUCUUCAGGACCAGCGCUUGCCGCCUCACCACUGACCUUCACACUAGAACUGUGAUGCUUUUUGGAGCUUAGCAACCAUCUAGGACUACCUGGAAACAUUCACGGCUUUGCUUCCUGGUUUCCACAGGUUGAGCAGAUUUCCUCUGCCACCCACUUCUGCCAUAUUGUUUUUCUCUUGGAGAAUGGCGACCAUGAACCGACUCCUCUGAAUCAUGAGCCAAAAUAAACCUCUCCUUUAAAUUAUGGGUAUCGCUCUAGCAAAUACCCAACCUUCAUGCUGGGCAAUUAUAUUAUUGUAGCUCAAGGAUAAUUGCUUUUGUCUUCUCACCAGAAGUUCAAGACUCAGAUAGGAAGUUUUAUUGACAUGAUGGAAUAUUGAAGGACAAAGUUUGCUGUAAUCUUGGUUUGCUCCCCCUGGGAUGCUGCAGCGGGAGCCCUGGUGCUCCUGCCCAGGCAUGUGAGGGAGGAUCUCACUGCCUAUUGCUGGCCGAGGAAAAGAAGCACGGUUUCUACGUAGUGCGCAUCACCCUUACGUCAUCCUUGGUGAGCUGUCAUUUGUUGGGGACCGUCGGUAUUAACAUCCUGCUCUCCACUCACCUGGUCCUGUGAAGAGUUCCUACAACUCCACUCUGGCCCUAUAAUUUCUGGCUGUUUCCACAUAUGGUUUUCCUAGCUUUCUGCUUUGAACAAAUUAUAAACUUAUGAGAAAUUGAAAAAAAUGGGUCCAGAGAGGUCCUGCAGACCUGUCACUUGGUUUCCCCCAAAGAUGGCAUCUGACUACUGUGCAUUAUCAAAACUAGAAAGCAGACACCAGCACAACAUAAUUAAGGAGACCAGAGGCCAUCUCCGAAGCUUCUAUACCUGACCUUCACGAGUCCUCUGCUCUGCAUCCUGCUGUGCCACCCGCUCCUGCCCGACACUCGCCUGCUCAUUUUAGUCACGGUCAGUGGCAGCAGCUUGCACUACAUGCACACGAGCCCGCAGCACAUGGAGAGACUCAGGCGAGGCAGGGCUCUCUGUAAGCGGAGCUCGGUUGGAGAGGGAGGACGUGCUCUAUGGCACCUGUUUCUCUCUCUCCUCCUUCCUCCAUAUCAUCCUCCCCUCUUUUCACCUUUUCUCCUUUUUUUCUGCCUACCCUUUCGUCCCCUGCCUCCUCUCCUCCUCCUCCUCUUUCUCUCCACCUCUGCCCAUCCUCCCCCUUAUCCCCUGGCCCUCCCCUCCCCUCUCCUCCUUUCUUCCUUCUGCCACAUCUCUCUGUCCAUCUCCGUCUGUAUCUUUGUCUCUUUGGCUCUCCCUCUGUGUCUCUGUCUCUAUCUCUGUCUGUCUCCUUCUCUCUCCCUCUGUAUCUCAGUCUCUCUCUGCCUCUUUCUCCUCCCCUCCCCUCUCCUCUCCUCCCCUUCCUUCCUCUUCCCUUCCCCACCUCUCUCCCUCAACUGUGAGCCCCUUGAAGGCAAAGAGUGUUUAUUUGAACUGUUAAGGCACUGUCUGAGUGUCCACGCUCCCUCCACCCAUAAUAAUCUGCUUCCUCUCAAAACCCCCAGCUCCUCCCAUACCCCUGUCACUACAACAUCUGGAAAGCAGCUGUCCUGACCUCGACUUUGUGGGUGCAGAAGCUGGGGCUCCAUGUGAUGACGACCAGCCCGCAUCAGCUCCGUCUCCUCCUGGCAGUGCGCUGUCCUUGCAUUCCCGGGACCUGACUCCCUGGACAGGUUCUCACCUGUGCAAUGGUGCGGGACGUCCAUCUUGCUCACAGCACAGGGUGCCCUGGUGACGGAGACCAGAGGCCACGGCACCGUGAUGGUGGAGCUUGGCAGACUGCUGAGCACCCGGACACCCAGCGCCUGCCCUGCUGCUCCUGCUGCUGGACAGACUGCUCUCACGCCUCUGCUCUUCUCUCCCCAGUCAGCCUGGAACCUCGGCCUCCAGGGCCCUCCCGGGCACACAGGAGGCAGCGAACUCAGACCCCUCUCUGCUCACCACGCGCUCCCUUUGCUGCAGUGUCCCCACCUUGUGCUUGGAGAGCCCGGUGUCCGUGCCCGCUCACGGAUGGUGCAUGUUCACCCUUGUUCUACCUAAGAGGAAACCAAGGCUUACGGAAGUGGACCUGGCCUGCCCAGCGUGGUGAAACGGGCACAUCUGGGUGCCGAACAUGUCUGUCUGACUGCAGGUGCAGUGCCUUCCAGCCAAAUCCUCUUAUUCUCAAAAUGUGUGAAAGCCAAGUCUGUGACCAUCUUUCCUCUGACCCGCUCGCUAUCUUCCUAAGAGAUGCUAUUAUCGUUUCUUGAGUUUCCUCCCAGAGUUAUCCUUGCAUGAAAUGCGUUUUUCUUUUGCUCACAUUUUCCAUGUUUUUGCUUUUCCACUUAACGGUGGGCCUUGGGAGAUCUUCCUAUAACGUUUAUAGGCGUUUCUUCCUAUGUUUAGUUGGCUAAGACUCUAUUAUGAGGAGGGAUUAUCAUUUACUGACAAAUGAGUAUGUACAUUCAGAUAUUUCCUGAGCCCUGCCCCAACACUCCUGCACUGAUGAUCCUUGCAUUUACAUUGUUCUGCACCCCUGUAAGCACAUUUGUACAAAAGCCCUUAGAAGCCAAAUUUAUGGGUCAAAGGGAGUGCGCGUGUACAUUUGGAAUUAUGAAAGUUACUAGCGCUUUGCUCUCUGUGGGGUUUGCACCAGUUUACAGCGCUCCUCCGGGUUAUGCCCUCUUGGAACAGGCGCCAAGGUCGAGGUCUGCAGGAGGCGCUCUGGGGACGCAGCCCUCUCCUUCCAAGGCGGCACAGGGUUCCGGGAUUUCUUGCACUCCAACCUUUUCUCUUCCCAGAAAGUUCCCAGAUGUUUCACUGCCCUGCCAGGGAGAGGAAGACGCUUUCCCGGAUGAGAGAUGGGAGUCUGUCUGCGUCUUGGCAGACUGCAAAGGGAUUUUACAGCUGGAGGAGCUGGUGGUGGAGGCAGGCCCCAGGCUUCGGUUAAAUAUUAAUGUGACAACGCUUGGCAUGGAGGAUUGAAAGACUGGCCUGGAACCUACUGACCAUGGGCCCACAUGCAGGAGGGUCGUGCAUUGAGGGGAAGGUGCAUAAUGCUCCCUUGGGAUGGCUGAGUGUGGAGUGCACCCUCAGGGGUGAGGGGAGAGAGAAAACAGCCUAGGCAUGACCCUGGCCCAGAACAAGAGCUCAAUAAAUGGCUGUUGUGGUUGCUGUCAUUUUGUCCAAUGGUUUCAGUUUCUUCUUCCAUUUCAGCCACAUCCUUCCCCUUCUUCUGAGCAUUUAUUUCUUCCCCCUCCCUUUGGUGACCCAGAGAGAUAGGUGUGAGGUCGCUGGAGGCCCUGCUGGGCACAUGUGCUGACGCUUCCUGAGUGCAAGACCUCAGGGCACAGUGUGCGGAGCCGGAGCUGAGGACAGGGAGUGAGACGGUCCCGGGAAAUGGUCAACUUCAUAGCUGCCGCUUCAGGCGCUAAAACAGAUGUCAUAGCAGAGUCUGCCUCAGCGGAUUUGGAUCCAGAAGCAUUAUAUCCGGGGGAUCCAGAGAUGCGAGAAACAGGGACAUGACCUGAGGCUUCUCACAGCAGCUGGGACACCGCCCCAAAGGGAGCAACGGUGACCAAGGGGAAGUGGUUCUCUCUUGCUCUCUCACACUCCCUUCCAUUGCUCUGGGAUCUGCUUAGGUCUGAGCUCUGGGACCAUGCAUUCUCUGACGUCCCUGCUAGCCCACAUCCACUUCUCAGGCUCCUUUGCAGGUCGCUCCUGCCUCUUCAGCCUCCUCCAGGCCUCUUCAGUGAGCAGCGGUACCACUGGGUUUCUGGCGAAGGCUUUUCCUGCACCAGGACCCCCUGCCACGCUGUUUCUUCUUUGGAGUUCAACUCUGAACCGAAACCAACCUCUCCUUUAAGUUGUGUAUUUUGUGUCAGUAACAAAGCCAGUGAUGAAGACGGGAAGUGACCCGGGAGGGUGUGUGUUCUCCUCAGUUUCUCUUUCUCUACUUCCUGGCUGCCGCGGGUUGAGCUGGGAGUGUGCAGCACACCCUGCCACCAUGCUGUUUCUGUCGUGGGACCAACCACAGACUGAACGCUGAAAACUGUGAGCCUGAAUAAACCCCUCUUCCUUUAAA